AAUGAACGCUGGCGGCGUGCCUAAUACAUGCAAGUCGAGCGAACAGACGAGGAGCUUGCUCCUCUGACGUUAGCGGCGGACGGGUGAGUAACACGUGGAUAACCUACCUAUAAGACUGGGAUAACUUCGGGAAACCGGAGCUAAUACCGGAUCAUAUAUUGAACCGCAUGGUUCAAUAGUUAAAGACGGUUUUGCUGUCACUUAUAGAUGGAUCCGCGCCGCAUUAGCUAGUUGGUAAGGUAACGGCUUACCAAGGCAACGAUGCGUAGCCGACCUGAGAGGAUGAUCGGCCACACUGGAACUGAGACACGGUCCAGACUCCUACGGGAGGCAGCAGUAGGGAAUCUUCCGCAAUGGGCGAAAGCUUGACGGAGCAACGCCGCGUGAGUGAUGAAGGUCUUCGGAUCGUAAAACUCUGUUAUUAGGGAAGAACAAAUGUGUAAGUAACUAUGCACGUCUUGACGGUACCUAAUCAGAAAGCCACGGCUAACUACGUG
rnacentral:rRNA from 1 species